AGUAAAGUCAGUUAACCAAGCUUUGGGCCCCAUACCCCGAACAUGACGGUUAAAAUCCUUCCUUUAUUA
rnacentral:tRNA from 1 species